rnacentral:rRNA from 1 species
UAAUAAGUAAUAUGAGGACGUCAGCCUUGUAUGAAUAAGGGGGUACCAUCCUCCAAGGCUAAGUAUAAUAUAUCUAGCGAUAGUGGAGAGUAACGUGAGUGAAAGGUGAAAAGUAAGUAGAUGACUAGUGAAAUAGAACCUGAACUAGUAAUCCUAUAAGCAGUUGGAGUUUUAGUAAAAAAUGACAACGUACCUUUUGCAUAAUGGGUCAGCGAGUUAGUUUAUAGAGCAAGAUGAAUAAUCUAAGCGAAAGCAACUAUAAUAAGUGGAUCAAAAAUAGUUUUAUGAACUAGACCCGAAGCCAAAUGAUCUUACUAUGGCCAGGCUAAAAAAGGGCCGAACAGGUGAAUGUUGCAAAAUUCUCUGAUGAGCUGUGGUAAGGGGUGAAAGGCCAAUCUAAUUUGGAUGAUAGCUGGUAUUCUGCGAAACCUAUUUAGGUAGGGCCUUUAUUUACACUUUUAUAUGUACAGCACUGAUCAUCAUACAUUAGCCAGAUAUUUAUAUCACUAUGUUAAAUUGGGGGGUCUCACAACUCUACCAUUGAUGGUUAACCUCGGAAGGAUAAUAGUGAAUGAUAAGGGCACAGUCUAUUCAUGAUAAGGUGGAUAGACAAAAGGGAAACAGCCCAGAGCACGUGUUAAGGUCCCAAAAUAUUGUUAAGUGAAUAUAAGAAAGUUUAACUCCUAAUACAACCAUGAAGUAGGCUUGGAGGUAGCCAUCUUUUAAUGAUAGUGUAACAACUCAGUGGUCCAUGUUUCCCUAAUCCCUUACAGGGAUUAGGGAAACACAAAAAGAAAAAGAAAUUUUUCUUGCAGUUUCCUGGAGGAGAUAAGCGUCGAAAAUUAACGGGUCUUAGACAAUAUACCUACACCGUGACUAUUUAUAAUAUAUUCUAUUUUUAUUAUAAAUAAGGGUAGCAGAACAUUCAGUAUCUGAUUGAAGGGAAAUGUUUCAUUUACUGGACAGUACUGAAGAGAAAAUGCUGACAUGAGUAACGUAGAAAGGAGUUAAAACACUCCUCGCCGAAUACGAGAGGGUUUCAUGGAAAAGUUAAUCUGCCAUGAGUUAUACGGACUCUAAGGAUUAUAUGACGAAUGUUUAUAUCUGAUGAGAAUAAUAACACUGAAUUAUCUAUAUAUAAUAUCAUUUAAUCUGUAUGAGAUUGUACAGAGUAAAGGAUAGAUCAAGAAAAAUAAGUGUCACUAAAUUUAUAGUGAAUCCGUACCCUAAACCGACACAGGUUCGUAGGUAGAGAAUACUAAGGCGUAGAGAUAAUGCUUGUGAAGGAACUCGGCAAAUUGUGCCCGUAAGUUAGACGAUAAGGGUAACCAGAAUAAAAUAAUUAUAUUCUAAUUCUGAGUGUCACAUAAUCGAGGGCUGCGACUGUUUACCAAAAACACAGCAACUUGCUAAGACGAAUAGUACUUGUAUAAGUUGUGAACUCUGCCCAAUGCCAUGUCGUGUAAAGAAGGUGAUUUAUUUAGUAGUUAUACUAAAUAGUGUCACUAACUGAUGCCAUGGUGAAUGGCGGUCUUAACUAUAAGGAUCUGAAAGUAGCGAAAUUCCUUGGCCAUUAAAUGUGGUCCUGCAUGAAUGAGGUAACGUGGCCCUGCUGUCUCCACAAGCAUCUCAGUGAAAUUGAAUUAGCCGUGCAGAUGCGGUUUACCUUCAGUUAGACGGGAAGACCCUAUGCAGCUUUACUGUAACUUGAUAUUGUUUCUUCUAUAGCUAAGUGUAGUAUACAAGGGAGUAGAUAUUUUCUACAUCAGUGAAAUACCUUGAUUAGUCUAAAGAAGAAACUUACCUAAAUGACACUAAUCGAAUAGUUCUUCAUGAGAUAUUGCGAAGAUCUCUAGUUUACGUCUCUAUAAAUUAAAUAGGAUUUAAUUUUCAUUUUUUUUUUCUAUUAGGUUUAUGGAAAGAGGAGUUUAUUCUCUUCUUUCCAUAAAUGGAAUAGAGGAAGAAUUCUUCCUCUAUUCCAUUUAUAAUACAGCCCCUUUUAUAUUUAUAAAAUAUAAGAUAAACUGUAUAUGAAUAAUUUAUUAAAUUUAGUAGUCUGGGAAAAUAUCAGGUGGUCAGUUUGACUGGGACGGUAGCCUCUAAUAAAGUAUCAGAGGCCUUCAAAGGUAUGCAUAUAUUGGUCAGAAACCAAUGAACUAUGUAAAGUUUAUUAAAGCGUAAUAGUAUAAGCAUGCUUGACUGAAAGACUGAUAGGUCGAUCAGAUACGCAAGUAGGAUAUAGUGAUCCGGUGAUUCAUUAUGGAAUGGUCAUCGCUCAAGAAAUAAAAGUUACGCUAGGGAUAACAGGUUUAUCGUUUGCGAGAGUUCAUAUUGUCCAAACGGUUUGACACCUCGAUGUCGACUCAUCUCAUCCUCCAGGUGUAGUAGCUUGGAAGGGUUCAGCUGUUCGCUGAUUAAAGAGGUACGCGAGUUG